GCGGUACUGGCGAAGUGGUUAACGCACCGGAUUGUGGCUCCGGCACGCGUGGGUUCGAUUCCCACGUACCGCCC
rnacentral:tRNA from 1 species